ACGGGAGGCAGCAGUGGGGAAUAUUGGGCAAUGGGGGAAACCCUGACCCAGCAACGCCGCGUGAAGGAAGAAGGCUUUCGGGUUGUAAACUUCUUUUACCAGGGACGAAGGACGUGACGGUACCUGGAGAAAAAGCCACGGCUAACUACGUGCCAGCAGCCGCGGUAAUACGUAGGUGGCAAGCGUUGUCCGGAUUUACUGGGUGUAAAGGGCGUGUAGGCGGAGAUGCAAGUCAGAAGUGAAAGCACGAGGCUCAACUUCGUGUCUGCAUUUGAAACUGGCGUGCUUGAGUGUUGGAGAGGCUAACGGAACUCCUAGUGUAGCGGUGAAAUGCGUAGAUAUUAGGAAGAACACCAGUGGCGAAGGCGGUUAGCUGGACAAUAACUGACGCUGAGGCGUGAAAGCGUGGGUAGCAAACAGGAUUAGAUACCCUGGUA
rnacentral:rRNA from 1 species